GACGAACGCUGGCGGCGUGCUUAACACAUGCAAGUCGAACGAAGUGGCGAACGGGUGAGUAAUACGUGGGUAACCUGCCCUCCUUUUUGGGAUAAGCCUUGGAAACGGGGUCUAAUACCGAAUAAAGGGGGUUGGGCUCGCGGCCUAUCAGCUUGUUGGUGGGGUGGUGGGCUUCCAAGGCGGUGACGGGUAGACGGCCUGAGAGGGUGAACGGCGACAGUGGGACGGAGAUAAGGCGGAGAGUAGGAAGGGAGGGAGCAGUGGGGGAAAAUGGACAAUGGGGGAAAGCGGGAUGCAGCGAAGGCGAGUGGGGGAGGAAGGCUGUAGAGUUGUAAAACUCUUUAGGUAUAGAAGGGGUAGGUGGAGAAGAAGCGCCGGCUAACGACGUGCCAGCAGCCGCGGUAAUAC
rnacentral:rRNA from 1 species